ACGAACGCUGGCGGCAUGCCUAACACAUGCCGGUCGAACGAGACCUUCGGGUCUAGUGGCGCACGGGUGCGUAACGCGUGGGAACCUGCCCUUAGGUUCGGAAUAACUCCCCGAAAGGGGUGCUAAUACCGGAUAAUGUCUUCGGACCAAAGAUUUAUCGCCUUUGGAUGGGCCCGCGUUGGAUUAGCUAGUUGGUAGGGUAAAAGCCUACCAAGGCGACGAUCCAUAGCUGGUCUGAGAGGAUGAUCAGCCACACUGGGACUGAGACACGGCCCAGACUCCCACGGGAGGCAGCAGUGGGGAAUAUUGGACAAUGGGCGAAAGCCUGAUCCAGCAAUGCCGCGUGAGUGAUGAAGGCCUUAGGGUUGUAAAGCUCUUUUACCCGGGAUGAUAAUGACAGUACCGGGAGAAUAAGCUCCGGCUAACUCCGU
rnacentral:rRNA from 1 species